rnacentral:rRNA from 1 species
GUCGAGCGGACAGAAGGGAGCUUGCUCCCGGAUGUUAGCGGCGGACGGGUGAGUAACACGUGGGUAACCUGCCUGUAAGACUGGGAUAACUCCGGGAAACCGGAGCUAAUACCGGAUAGUUCCUUGAACCGCAUGGUUCAAGGAUGAAAGACGGUUUCGGCUGUCACUUACAGAUGGACCCGCGGCGCAUUAGCUAGUUGGUGAGGUAACGGCUCACCAAGGCGACGAUGCGUAGCCGACCUGAGAGGGUGAUCGGCCACACUGGGACUGAGACACGGCCCAGACUCCUACGGGAGGCAGCAGUAGGGAAUCUUCCGCAAUGGACGAAAGUCUGACGGAGCAACGCCGCGUGAGUGAUGAAGGUUUUCGGAUCGUAAAGCUCUGUUGUUAGGGAAGAACAAGUGCAAGAGUAACUGCUUGCACCUUGACGGUACCUAACCAGAAAGCCACGGCUAACUACGUGCCAGCAGCCGCGGUAAUACGUAGGUGGCAAGCGUUGUCCGGAAUUAUUGGGCGUAAAGGGCUCGCAGGCGGUUUCUUAAGUCUGAUGUGAAAGCCCCCGGCUCAACCGGGGAGGGUCAUUGGAAACUGGGAAACUUGAGUGCAGAAGAGGAGAGUGGAAUUCCACGUGUAGCGGUGAAAUGCGUAGAGAUGUGGAGGAACACCAGUGGCGAAGGCGACUCUCUGGUCUGUAACUGACGCUGAGGAGCGAAAGCGUGGGGAGCGAACAGGAUUAGAUACCCUGGUAGUCCACGCCGUAAACGAUGAGUGCUAAGUGUUAGGGGGUUUCCGCCCCUUAGUGCUGCAGCUAACGCAUUAAGCACUCCGCCUGGGGGAGUACGGUCGCCAAGACUGAAACUCAGAUUGACGGGGGCCGCCAAGCGGGGAGCAUGUGGUUUAUUCGAACACCGAAAACCUUACCAGGCUUGAAUCCUCUGACAACCCU